CGCGCUCGCGACCUCCGCGACGUUGCUGCUUCGCCGCCUGCUCUCGACCGCUACUGGCCGACUCCGGCGCCGGCGAGGUGGGGUUUUUGCUCACCUCGACGGGAUCUACAACCUCCCCCUGUUUGAUUUGAUUUUCGUGGCUCCUCACUAUCGCCCCAACCUGGAACCCUAGCGGUCGCUGGUCGGUUUAGCCGUCGCCGGCUAACUCCAGUGCCGCCGCAGGUUGGCUGACCUCUGGCACGUCCUCCUCCACCAGCCUCCUGCUGCUGUGAUUCUCUACAGCCCUGCAUCGACCCCCUAUGCCCCCCUUUGAUUUGUCAUCACCGCUCACAGCGUUGGUCGAUGUCGACCGCCCCUGGCACCUCCGGCUAUCUCCGGUGCCGGCUCGAGCUUCUCGUCUAUCUCGACUACUUCCUCGAGCCCUUGGUCGUCCUUGUUGGCAACCCCGACCACCCCUGCUACUAGCGCUAUGCUACUAUGGCUGUGUACUGGUGGUGAUAUGGUGCUGGUUGCUGCGAUGGCGUUCUGGUGGUGGUGUGGUGAUGUUGCUGGUGGUGGCAUGGUGUUGUGAUGCUGGUGAUGGUGCCCUGCUACUGCUACUGCCCCCUCGACCUUGACGCCGGCGGGACGGUGCUGUGGACGCAACCCCGGCGUCAACUUCUUCUUCUCAUCGCUGCAAUUUCAAUGUGAGCUAAUCCUCCCCACAUCUCUGCCUAUGACCAUUGUGUCCUGUGUUGUACAAUUUUUGUUGGAUACUUGUGUUUAAUACAAUGCUUAUAGUUACUACAUUUACUGCUUAAGAUUGGUAUUUCAUAUGUGAAGUGGAAUGCUUCCUUUUUGGAUGAAUUAAUCAGCCAAAGCAUGUGCGGUCUGUGUUAAUUAAUGUGGUGCGGUAUGAGGCCCUGUAUUGACCUUGCUAGAUACUAGCAUUUCAAGUUUCUAGUUUGAUUGUCCCUGCUGGAGAAACAAUUCUUAGCUGCUGGUUAUGUUGCCUGGCAAUGACAUACUCCUUGUCUAUUUGUCAAAUACCAAAUGAUGGAUUUAUUUUUGAUGUUGCGGAAUAUUACUUGGUUGGCCUGCGAAUGAUUCCUGGACCCUAAGUAAAUCUCUAUAGCUUGUGGGUGAAUAACUAGUUGCUCUACUUGCUGCUAUAAAUUUGUGAUGCCCCUGUUUGGAUGAGGUAUUCAUCCAGGCAUUUAUGAUGAUGCUGUCUAAUAAGAAAUAUCCAUGUGUUGAUGUUGCUCUCAAUAAUUGGCUGGACAUAUUUGGGUUUGUGUGUGCAAGAUGAACACUGCCCCUAGUCCUUGGAGAUAUCUGUUGUUUCUAGAUGGAUGCUUUAUUUGAUGGCUUACUUGUGCUUAAACUGAUGAUCUUGUAGUUUAGAUUAUUGUUUCUUCUUUCUCUGCAUAAGUGUCCAUGUACUUUCUAGUGAUCAUAUCUAUCCUGUGAUGCCUCAAAUGAGUGUACACGGGAUACAUAUAUGUUGGAUUAGAAUCUUGUGCUGUAGGUGCUUAUGUAGAGUAGGAACUAGACAAUGAUCAUAACUAUAUGAUCAAAUGAUGGUAAAUGUCCAUCCCAAGCUCCUGUUGUUGCUUGAGUAAAUUUCAUGGAUAUACCUAUGCUUGCUUUAGCCGAUGAUGCUAAGGCUGAGGCUCGGAUUUGUAAUAAGAACAGAUGCUAUUUAUGCGUAAUAAACUCUGUGAUGAGACUAGCAUACCACUUGUAUGCAAAUCUGAGAGUUUCCCCUACCAAAAUGCUUUGAUCUAAACUGAGAAGAAUAUAUGCUAGAUGAUCUAAAGAUCAACCUGCUGUAGUAGAUCAGACUAGCCUGGUCUUCUGGCAUCUGAAACAACCUUCUUCUUGUGGCAUGUCUGCUCCUCCUCGCAGCUUGAUUUAUCUCCAAAGAUCUAGCUAAAGAUAUAGAUGUAUUCUGGUUGGUAGAUCAUUGCUAGGAUCUGUUGGCAUACUCUUGAUGUUCUGGUUGAUUCAGCUAGUGCAAAUUUUUACUAGUUGAGCUGUUGAUGUGUGGAUAUGCUCAAAGAGCUGCUAGUACUGAAUACGGUGAUGUAUGAACCAAACGUUUUGGUUGGCUGUGAUGGCCCUGCUUUUAUACUGUUGUGCAGAUGUUGUGGUAUCGACAGCACAUAGCAUGCAAGUGGUGACAGUGCUGCUAGCAAGUGGCCCUUCCUCUUGUGCAGGUUGACGAGUUGGUUUGCUUCUCCUCCUAGUGCAAGCAACGACCGUGUGAUCUUUAUCCCUUGCUAGACCAUUCUUUUAGGUGCUGCCAAGUGGUUAAUCCUUAUUGGCUAAUAUUAUUGUGUGAGCUAAAUACCUCCAGAGGAUGCCCCUAAAAUUUAAUUAAGAUUUGAUUAAUUAUUAAUUGGUUUAUGAUUAGUGGGCUUAGGAUCAUAUUGACUCUGCCAUGUCAAGGAUGAUCUAUUUUAGAGUAAUUUGUGGGUUUUCUUAAAACAGGAACUUGACUAAAUUAGAGGGAAACAAUAAUGUUGUUUUUCUUGCCUACUCCAGUGGAUCAAAUCUGGUUGCCUAAUGCCUCUUGUUGCCUUCUUAAUUCCUAUGUGAUCUGUGUUGCCUCAUGUGAUCAGAAUUGAUCCAUAUGUCUCAAUUGUUGCCUAAGAUGAAUUAAAUCCCUCUAAUUACAUCUCGAUAUUAGGACAAGUUCCUAAUAUCCAUGAGUUGAGUUCCAAAACCAAAAUGCCUCAUCUUAGAUGAUGGCAAACAUUUUAAUCAAACACAACUAUUUUCUUGUCUUUGUUCUUUUUCUUAUUGCAGGAAAAGAGGAUUGGAAGAUUGGAAAGAUGGAGAUCUUAGAUUAGGAAUUCUUUUGGUUCCAUUUUGUAAUCUCAUAGUUCUUAUGUAACUUAUAAUAUUUCCAUAAAUUUUGUAAUAGUACUUUUGUGAAUUGUUAUUAGUAAUAUUUGAUUCUCAUUUGUUA